UACGGAGGGUGCAAGCGUUAUCCGGAUUCACUGGGUUUAAAGGGUGCGUAGGCGGGCAGGUAAGUCCGUGGUGAAAUCCCCGAGCUUAACUCGGGAACUGCCAUGGAUACUAUUUGUCUUGAAUAUUGUGGAGGUAAGCGGAAUAUGUCAUGUAGCGGUGAAAUGCUUAGAUAUGACAUAGAACACCAAUUGCGAAGGCAGCUUACUACACAGUUAUUGACGCUGAGGUGCGAAAGCGUGGGGAGCAAACAGG
rnacentral:rRNA from 1 species